CCUACGGGAGGCAGCAGUGGGGAAUCUUGCGCAAUGGGCGAAAGCCUGACGCAGCAACGCCGCGUGCGGGAAGAAGGCUUUCGGGCUGUAAACCGCUUUCAGCAGGAACGAAAAUGACGGUACCUGCAGAAGAAGGAGCGGCCAACUAUGUGCCAGCAGCCGCGGUGAUACAUAGGCUUCAAGCGUUGUCCGGAUUUAUUGGGCGUAAAGAGUUCGUAGGCGGUCGAGUAAGUCGGGUGUGAAAAUUCUGGGCUCAACCCAGAGACGCCACCCGAUACUGCUUGACUUGAGUUCGAUAGGGGAGUGGGGAAUUCCUAGUGUAGCGGUGAAAUGCGCAGAUAUUAGGAGGAACACCGGUGGCGAAGGCGCCACUCUGGAUCGAUACUGACGCUGAGGAACGAAAGCAUGGGUAGCAAACAGGAUUAGAUACCCUGGUAGUCCAUGCCGUAAACGGUGGGCACUAGGUGUGGGUUUCUAUUAACGAAAUCCGCGCCGUCGCUAACGCAUUAAGUGCCCCGCCUGGGGGNGGUACGGUCGCGAGAACGUAAACGUUAAAGGUAAAGUUAGUAACGGUCGUGUUAGAGUCGACGACGACGACGACGGAGGAGGAGG
rnacentral:rRNA from 1 species